AAAAUGUAGCUUAGAACAAUACCAAUUCUACUUAAGACAUGCCGGUCGGUCUAUUUAUCCUUGGUUGUGACUUAAUAACAUCCGGUGUCAUUUUAGUUCGCACCGCGUUAUGAGCAAGAACGUCACACACAGACAGACUUUGAGCCCUGCGGUCUGAAUGCGAAUCAUAUGAAAAUAUUAGUCAAUUGUAAUUAUUUUCUGAUUUAACUUUUCAGUUUAAUGUUUAUCAUAAAUAUUGUGUGAAACAGCUAAACACGAGGACAUUCCUCUUUAUUGUACAUAUUGAUAAAAUCCAUUACAAUGUGUACACGGUUUAAAAACACUUUCAGCCGGAAAUGAAAUAGUUUUAUACAUUCGAGGCCGUAUUUCACCAGGAAUUCGUAUGUUGUAGAAUGAAGUGUAGCAGUGUAUAUCAGUGUGUGGAAAGAAAGAUUGGAGGAAUCUUUGCUAAGUAUGGCCGAUUUGUCGCUGCGCAUGCGUGGAAAAUUCUUAUUGUUUCCAUUCUUGUCAAUGGAGGGCUUGGAAUCGGAAUGAUGAAGAUGGAAUUAGACAAUGACGCGUCUAAUUACCUCCCUUCAGGAACACAAGCGGAAGAAGAUGAAAAAAGAAUCGAAGGAUUAUUUCCGGAUCUUGAUUAUUCAAAUUUUGAUUCGCUUCGACUCAUAUAUGGUGGUCCGUGGGUGCGGCUGAUAGUCAGAAGUAAAAGUGGUAAUUUGUUGAUCAGACAGAUGUUAGAACAGGUCCAAUCGCUGACAAAUGUCAUACAAAAUAUCACCGCAGAUGACGGAUAUGGACAGACC